rnacentral:rRNA from 1 species
CGGAGGGGCGUAGCGUUGUUCGGAAUUACUGGGCGUAAAGCGCACGUAGGCGGACUGGAAAGUUGGGGGUGGAAAUCCCGGGGCUCAACCUCGGAACUGCCUUCAAAACUAUCGGUCUGGAGUUCGAGAGAGGUGAGUGGAAUUCCGAGUGUAGAGGUGAAAUUCGUAGAUAUUCGGAGGAACACCAGUGGCGAAGGCGGCUCACUGGCUCGAUACUGACGCUGAGGUGCGAAAGCGUGGGGAGCAAACAGGAUU